rnacentral:antisense_RNA from 1 species
GUAGGAGUGAGCCUGCUCGCGAUAGCGGACUUACAGUCAGAAUCGAUGGUGACUGACACACCGCAAUCGCGAGCAGGCUCACUCCUAC